UCCCACAACCAUAUCACCCUGCAGCCCAAGACCGGUUACUCACUAAAGCUAAGCAGGGCUGAGCCUGGUUAGUACCUGGAUGGGAGACCACUAGGGAACACUAGGUUGCUGUUGGAA
rnacentral:rRNA from 1 species